GAUGAACGCUGGCGGCGUGCCUAAUACAUGCAAGUCGAGCGAACAGACGAGGAGCUUGCUCCUCUGACGUUAGCGGCGGACGGGUGAGUAACACGUGGAUAACCUACCUAUAAGACUGGGAUAACUUCGGGAAACCGGAGCUAAUACCGGAUAAUAUAUUGAACCGCAUGGUUCAAUAGUGAAAGACGGUUUUGCUGUCACUUAUAGAUGGAUCCGCGCCGCAUUAGCUAGUUGGUAAGGUAACGGCUUACCAAGGCAACGAUGCGUAGCCGACCUGAGAGGGUGAUCGGCCACACUGGAACUGAGACACGGUCCAGACUCCUACGGGAGGCAGCAGUAGGGAAUCUUCCGCAAUGGGUGAAAGCCUGACGGAGCAACGCCGCGUGAGUGAUGAAGGUCUUCGGAUCGUAAAACUCUGUUAUUAGGGAAGAACAAAUGUGUAAGUAACUAUGCACGUCUUGACGGUACCUAAUCAGAAAGCCACGGCUAACUACGUG
rnacentral:rRNA from 1 species